rnacentral:lncRNA from 1 species
GGACGCUAUCUACAAAGUGAAGAGUACAUUCAACAAAGAAUUUGAGGCAGUUUACAAGCAGAAGGAACAGGAAAUCAACCGUCUUAAGGAGAAGAACAAGCGUAUCUCUUGAGAUUAUGAUGGAGCUAGACAUCAAGAAAAUUGAGAAAUACCUCACCCCUGAGCAGAAAGAAAAAGAAAAGCUAAGAGAGGAAGAUGAACGGCAAAGGCUUGCAGCCAAGUCUGACAACAUGAGAGAUCAAGCACUCAGUGUUAUGAUGGGUGGAGUUCUGGAACUUAAAAAAGAGGACAUGCUGAGGAUGAUGAGGAAGUACCUCAGCCCGAGUUCAUGUCUAAACCUGAGGUACAAUGGACAGAAGAAGAGAGAAAGAGCUUCAAAGAGUUUGAAAAAAAGCAAAAGAGCUCAGUGAGGAGAAAGAGAAAUACAGAAAGACACUAGAGACAGAAAUGAAGAAACUGCUGACAUCUAUCAAAGAGGCUACCCAGAUGUUUGAUGAAAAACUCACAAAGCUGUUUGAAAGGAAGGUGAAAUCAGAGAUGGUCAUAUACCAAGUAAGCUGAUACAGUACAUCAUUGCAUUUUUGCAUGUCACCUUUUCAGGGGCCUAUUG